UAUGGUGUAUUCAAGUGUUUGUCUCAACAGUGCGGCGUAUAAGUGCAUUUGAUUCAGAUUUAUAGUGAUCGCAAUUUCUGCGGUCCCUUUUACCGAGCAAAAUAAUGUUUUCCAAGAGUCCCACUGAGGUAAUGUAGGCUAACGAAAAAGCUAAACAUCAAGAGGAGAGGAAUCGUAGUCCUUCUAAAAGCAGUGAAAGGCAUUAGCUUUCCAGGUGUAAUAUGGAUCAUAAAAUGAAGACCGUGUCGGCCCCAAACAUGACCAGGAAGAGGAAAGCAUCAAGGCCGAAACAGAAAGGCAAGACACAAGGAGCUUCAGAGGUCUUGGAGACGGGCAGUAAAACAAGCGGAGACAAAAACUCCAGGGUAA